rnacentral:rRNA from 1 species
GCGGCAGGCCUAACACAUGCAAGUCGAGCGGUAGAGAGAAGCUUGCUUCUCUUGAGAGCGGCGGACGGGUGAGUAAUGCCUAGGAAUCUGCCUGGUAGUGGGGGAUAACGUUCGGAAACGGACGCUAAUACCGCAUACGUCCUACGGGAGAAAGCAGGGGACCUUCGGGCCUGCCGCUAUCAGAUGAGCCUAGGUCGGAUUAGCUAGUUGGUGGGGUAAUGGCUCACCAAGGCGACGAUCCGUAACUGGUCUGAGAGGAUGAUCAGUCACACUGGAACUGAGACACGGUCCAGACUCCUACGGGAGGCAGCAGUGGGGAAUAUUGGACAAUGGGCGAAAGCCUGAUCCAGCCAUGCCGCGUGUGUGAAGAAGGUCUUCGGAUUGUAAAGCACUUUAAGUUGGGAGGAAGGGUUGUAGAUUAAUACUCUGCAAUUUUGACGUUACCGACAGAAUAAGCACCGGCUAACUCUGUGCCAGCAGCCGCGGUAAUACAGAGGGUGCAAGCGUUAAUCGGAAUUACUGGGCGUAAAGCGCGCGUAGGUGGUUUGUUAAGUGGAUGUGUCCGGGCUCACCUGGGAACUGCAUUCAAAACUGACUGACUAGAGUAUGGUA